rnacentral:rRNA from 1 species
AGGAGAGUUUGAUCCUGGCUCAGGAUGAACGCUAGCGGCAGGCUUAACACAUGCAAGUCGAGGGGCAGCGCGGAGUAGCAAUACUCUGGCGGCGACCGGCGGAAGGGUGCGUAACACGUGAGCAACUUGCCCGUGACAGGGGGAUAAGCGAUGGAAACGUCGUCUAACAUCCCGUAACACGAGGGGAGGCAUCUCCCAUCGUUGAAAACUCCGGUGGUCACGGAUGGGCUCGCGGGACAUUAGCUAGUUGGCGGGGCAACGGCCCACCAAGGCGACGAUGUCUAGGGGUUCUGAGAGGAAGAUCCCCCACACUGGAACUGAGACACGGUCCAGACUCCUACGGGAGGCAGCAGUGAGGAAUAUUGGACAAUGGAGGCAACUCUGAUCCAGCCAUGCCGCGUGAAGGACGAAGGCCCUAUGGGUCGUAAACUUCUUUUGUCAGGGAGCAAUAAGGGUCACGUGUGGCCCGACGAGAGUACCUGGCGAAUAAGCAUCGGCUAACUCCGUGCCAGCAGCCGCGGUAAUACGGAGGAUGCGAGCGUUAUCCGGAUUUAUUGGGUUUAAAGGGUGCGUAGGCGGACGAUUAAGUCAGCUGUGAAAUGCCCGCGCUUAACGCGGGAAGUGCAGUUGAUACUGGUUGUCUGGAGUGCCGUUGCCGUGGGGGGAAUGUGUAGUGUAGCGGUGAAAUGCAUAGAUAUUACACAGAACGCCGAUUGUGAAGACACCUCACGAAGCGGUAACUGACGCUGAGGCACGAAAGCGUGGGGAUCGAACAGGAUUAGAUACCCUGGUAGUCCCCU